rnacentral:rRNA from 1 species
UGUAUUUUCUAGGGAUUAAAGAUAAAAUUAAAAUAUUUGGCGGCUGUGUAUAUUAAAGGGAUUUGCUAUAUUCGAUACACCUCGUUUAUUAUUAGUUAGUUUAUUUUUGUAUACCGUCAUUUAGAUAAUUUUGAUAGGGGUGAAUUAUGCUGAUAGUUUAUAUUAUAUUAGAUCAAGGUGCAGAAAUAAUUAAUUUAAAGUUAAUGACAAUAAUAAUUAUUACACGGGCUCUAAAUAAUUUUGGUUAAUAGGUGGAUUUAAUUGUAAUGAAAGUGUAUUGGAAUUAUAUUGUAGUGUACAAAUUGCCCGUCAUUCUC